UCGGCCUCCCAGAGGGCUAGGAUUACAGGCUCACUGAGCCACUGCGCCCGGCCUUGGUCUGAAGUCUUACAUGGACGACUGAGAUUCAGUAAGGGAUCAGGGGAAAGAAGUGGCUUGUCCAAGGUUACAGAUCCUAGAUCUUGACUUCUUCACUCAGUCCAUCCUAGAGAUCACUAGGGACUCUGGAGCUAGAAGCCCUACAGAGAUGUGUCCCAUCCAAGGUGUGCUACCUGGCCUUCGUCUCAAGCCACAGGCAAGAGUCUUGUCCCACUUCUCUGCUCCCAGACACCAUGCUUCCCCAGCUCUGUUUUCAGCAUGUCUGGUUGUUCAAUUGCCUCUGUUCACCCACAGAUUAAGGCAGGGUCCACUGUCUUAAUUGCCACUAUUGCCAGUACCAAGCACAGUGCCUCCCACUAGUGAGUGAUCCUGCUGUGGUAGACCAUUAAACUACUGCCCCCAGAUGAAGCCCCUUUCCCAGCAUUUAUGCCUAGAGCUAUGUACUUAAUGAUGAGGACUGAGUAAGAAAGAGGAACAGAGAGGGGGGUACAGAACAGACACAUUUAGUUACGAGAGAACAUUAAUACCAAAAUUUUAGAGCAAAGCAGUAUUUUUUAAGAGGCCAUGUGCAAAACAGUUCCUCAAGUCCAGAAGACCCAAGCUGCAGGCUCCUUCCAGAAAAAGCCAGCAUAGGAGAUCUUCCAAAUCUAUAAAUCAGCUCGCUGGCUGGACAAGGCCUAGGAAUCUGUUAUCAAUGAAUUUUAAAAUAAAGCUUUUUUGUAGGCUG